CCUUUUGUAUAAUGGGUCAGCGACUUAUAUUCUGUAGCAAGGUUAACCGAAUAGGGGAGCCGAAGGGAAACCGAGUCUUAACUGGGCGUUAAGUUGCAGGGUAUAGACCCGAAACCCGGUGAUCUAGCCAUGGGCAGGUUGAAGGUUGGGUAACACUAACUGGAGGACCGAACCGACUAAUGUUGAAAAAUUAGCGGAUGACUUGUGGCUGGGGGUGAAAGGCCAAUCAAACCGGGAGAUAGCUGGUUCUCCCCGAAAGCUAUUUAGGUAGCGCCUCGUGAAUUCAUCUCCGGGGGUAGAGCACUGUUUCGGCAAGGGGGUCAUCCCGACUUACCAACCCGAUGCAAACUGCGAAUACCGGAGAAUGUUAUCACGGGAGACACACGGCGGGUGCUAACGUCCGUCGUGAAGAGGGAAACAACCCAGACCGCCAGCUAAGGUCCCAAAGUCAUGGUUAAGUGGGAAACGAUGUGGGAAGGCCCAGACAGCCAGGAUGUUGGCUUAGAAGCAGCCAUCAUUUAAAGAAAGCGUAAUAGCUCACUGGUCGAGUCGGCCUGCGCGGAAGAUGUAACGGGGCUAAACCAUGCACCGAAGCUGCGGCAGCGACGCUUAUGCGUUGUUGGGUAGGGGAGCGUUCUGUAAGCCUGUGAAGGUGUGCUGUGAGGCAUGCUGGAGGUAUCAGAAGUGCGAAUGCUGACAUAAGUAACGAUAAAGCGGGUGAAAAGCCCGCUCGCCGGAAGACCAAGGGUUCCUGUCCAACGUUAAUCGGGGCAGGGUGAGUCGACCCCUAAGGCGAGGCCGAAAGGCGUAGUCGAUGGGAAACAGGUUAAUAUUCCUGUACUUAGUGUUACUGCGAAGGGGGGACGGAGAAGGCUAUGUUGGCCGGGCGACGGUUGUCCCGGUUUAAGCGUGUAGGCUGGUUUUCCAGGCAAAUCCGGAAAAUCAAGGCUGAGGCGUGAUGACGAGGCACUACGGUGCUGAAGCAACAAAUGCCCUGCUUCCAGGAAAAGCCUCUAAGCAUCAGGUAACAUCAAAUCGUACCCCAAACCGACACAGGUGGUCAGGUAGAGAAUACCAAGGCGCUUGAGAGAACUCGGGUGAAGGAACUAGGCAAAAUGGUGCCGUAACUUCGGGAGAAGGCACGCUGAUAUGUAGGUGAGGUCCCUCGCGGAUGGAGCUGAAAUCAGUCGAAGAUACCAGCUGGCUGCAACUGUUUAUUAAAAACACAGCACUGUGCAAACACGAAAGUGGACGUAUACGGUGUGACGCCUGCCCGGUGCCGGAAGGUUAAUUGAUGGGGUUAGCGGUAACGCGAAGCUCUUGAUCGAAGCCCCGGUAAACGGCGGCCGUAACUAUAACGGUCCUAAGGUAGCGAAAUUCCUUGUCGGGUAAGUUCCGACCUGCACGAAUGGCGUAAUGAUGGCCAGGCUGUCUCCACCCGAGACUCAGUGAAAUUGAACUCGCUGUGAAGAUGCAGUGUACCCGCGGCAAGACGGAAAGACCCCGUGAACCUUUACUAUAGCUUGACACUGAACAUUGAGCCUUGAUG
rnacentral:rRNA from 1 species